rnacentral:rRNA from 1 species
GAUGAACGCUGGCGGCGUGCCUAAUACAUGCAAGUCGAGCGAACAGACGAGGAGCUUGCUCCUCUGACGUUAGCGGCGGACGGGUGAGUAACACGUGGAUAACCUACCUAUAAGACUGGGAUAACUUCGGGAAACCGGAGCUAAUACCGGAUAAUAUAUUGAACCGCAUGGUUCAAUAGUGAAAGACGGUUUUGCUGUCACUUAUAGAUGGAUCCGCGCCGCAUUAGCUAGUUGGUAAGGUAACGGCUUACCAAGGCAACGAUGCGUAGCCGACCUGAGAGGGUGAUCGGCCACACUGGAGCUGAGACACGGUCCAGACUCCUACGAGAGGCAGCAGUAGGGAAUCUUCCGCAAUGGGCGAGAGCCUGACGGAGCAACGCCGCGUGGGUGAUGAAGGUCUUCGGAUCGUAAAACUCUGUUAUUAGGGAAGAACAAAUGUGUAAGUAACUAUGCACGUCUUGACGGUACCUAAUCAGAAAGCCACGGCUAACUACGUG